UACAGGGGGUGCAAACGUUGCUCGGAAUUAUUGGGCGUAAAGCGCGUGUAGGCGGCCAGAUAGGUCUGCUGUGAAAACUCGAGGCUCAACCUCGAGCUGUCGGCGGAAACCAUCUGGCUAGAGUCCGGAAGAGGAGAGUGGAAUUCCUGGUGUAGCGGUGAAAUGCGCAGAUAUCAGGAAGAACACCUAUGGCGAAGGCAGCUCUCUGGGACGGUACUGACGCUGAGACGCGAAAGCGUGGGGAGCGAACAGG
rnacentral:rRNA from 1 species